rnacentral:rRNA from 1 species
GUCGAACGGAGCUGCUUUGAUGAAGUUUUCGGAUGGAUUUAAAACAGCUUAGUGGCGGACGGGUGAGUAACGCGUGGGUAACCUGCCUCACACUGGGGGAUAACAGUUAGAAAUAGCUGCUAAUACCGCAUAAGCGCACAGUUCCGCAUGGAACAGUGUGAAAAACUCCGGUGGUGUGAGAUGGACCCGCGUCUGAUUAGCCAGUUGGCGGGGUAACGGCCCACCAAAGCGACGAUCAGUAGCCGGCCUGAGAGGGUGAACGGCCACAUUGGGACUGAGACACGGCCCAAACUCCUACGGGAGGCAGCAGUGGGGAAUAUUGCACAAUGGGGGAAACCCUGAUGCAGCGACGCCGCGUGAGUGAAGAAGUAUUUCGGUAUGUAAAGCUCUAUCAGCAGGGAAGAAAGUGACGGUACCUGAAUAAGAAGCCCCGGCUAACUACGUGCCAGCAGCCGCGGUAAUACGUGGGGGGCAAGCGUUAUCCGGAUUUACUGGGUGUAAAGGGAGCGUAGACGGCAAGGCAAGUCUGAAGUGAAAGCCCGGUGCUUAACGCCGGGACUGCUUUGGAAACUGUUUAGCU